AGCAGUAUGGUGUAAUGCCGCACACGGGAUUCUCUUACGGGUUGAAAAACAAUAAUUCCCGAGGUCCUUGUUCGAAUCAAGGUACUGUUC